rnacentral:lncRNA from 1 species
AGUGAAGAAAUGGGGAAGCUUGAGGACAGAGGAGUGGAUAUGAUAACACAAAUUCAUCUUCUUUCUUGAGAACAAUCGUCGAGCUCGAAUUGUCGUAGCCAGUGGAGGAGGGAGAAUGAGAGUGUGAAUCUAGAGAAGAUGGUGGUGAAGAGCGACAGAGGAAGGCGGAGUAGUAAUUACAGAAGGCGGAUUAGGGUUCCUAAGUUUCGAUUUUGAACAAGGUGACGAUGGUGUUUUCGAUUAGGGAAGAAC